rnacentral:rRNA from 1 species
UACGAAGGGGGCUAGCGUUGUUCGGAAUUACUGGGCGUAAAGCGCGCGCAGGCGGUUUUUCAAGUCAGUGGUGAAAGCCCGGAGCUCAACUCCGGAACUGCCAUUGAAACUGUAAAACUUGAGGAUGAGAGAGGUGAGUGGAAUUCCCAGUGUAGAGGUGAAAUUCGUAGAUAUUGGGAAGAACACCGGUGGCGAACGCGGCUCACUGGCUCAUAUCUGACGCUCAGGCGCGACAGCGUGGGGAUCAAACAGG